CUGUUCCUGCAAAUCAGAGCCAUCUUUUUUCCUUUGUUUUUAGAAGUAGUUUAAUUGUCCAAAGUAGAAUGUAAGUUUAGGAAUAGUAUAGUAUUUCAGGGAAGAAGCAUGAGGGACAACAUUGUGCAUAUAAAGGUCCUCCUGAAUGCUUUGUUUAUUGAAUGUAAAACAUGGUAACAUUGAAAUACUAAGGCCAGAUUCAGGAUUCAAACCACAUUGAACAAGAAGUUCCUUCCAUACAGAAGAGAAAAACAUACUUUCUUUCAGAUAUUCUCAAUCAAUUAGUGGAACCUGCAGUCAGAUUUUUCUCAAGAAAAGAUGAUCUCAUCAGGAUUGUGCGUAGCUCAGGGAGACUUAUUAGAUAACUCCACUGCAGAGCAGCAUUGGAUGGCUCAUCUGAAGAACUGAGAGGUAAAGUGGCAUGCCCAACGUGACACAGCAAGUCAGUGACAAAGCCUGAAACAGAACCUAGAUACUGACUCCUGGUUCUGUAUCUUAAUCAAAAACCCAUCUUUCCUGUCCCCGCAUCCGAUUCCUUAUUUUGAGGGUACUGUGCUUUAUUGCCAGCUACAUGGCUAAAUCUUAGUUUUACUAAGGCUCCAAUACUUCAUCAAGAUCCACCAGCACAAACCCACGUAUCCUUGUGGAGCCCCAUUGAGAUCAAUGGAACUCUGUAGAGGUGUGAGCUGGCAGAUCCCAAAGCAGGCCUAAGUACUUCAGUUCUGACUCAGUCCUUAGCUAAAAUGCCCAUUGACUACAAUGGAUGAUUUGCUUGAAUAAAAAAUGUAUUAAAACUGGGCAAGGACAUAAAGAUUUAACCCAACGAGGAAGAGAGAAUGCAAUUAUCUCGUCAAUUUUAAAGUGUCUUAUUUGAUUAUAAACUCAACUUCCAGAGCUGACAUAGGGAUUUUAAUAUGUAAUGCUUAACUUUCAAAUAAGUGGAAACCCCUUAAUUUGGAUACUCAGAUCAGCGGAUAGGUACAUAAUGAAUUAUUUUUAAAUUAAUCUACGUAACAAAUUAGGAAUCUGGAUAUCCUAUAAGCAGGGUUUAAAGUAGACUGGAAAAAGAGUGGGAGCUCUCAUCACCAGCUAAGGAGGAGGGGGACCUGUAGGGGAA